CCGCCAGAAUACUACUAGCUAACCACUUAAAACUCAAGGGAUUUGACGGCGUCUCACCUGCCUAGAGGAGCCUGUUCCAUAAUCGAUACUCCGCGAUACACCUAACCACUUUUUGCUUAAUCAGUCUGUAUACCUCCGUCGCAAGUUCACCAUAUGAAUGCUAAUCAGUGGGCAAAAAGGUUACCACACCAAUACGUCAGGUCAAGGUGCAACCCACAAAGUGGAAAGAAUGGGCUACAAUUUCUAAACUAGAACACACGAAUAUCUUAUGAAAAAAUGAUUGAAGGCGGAUUUAGUAGUAAGGAGAAAUAAAACAUUCCCCUUAACCAACAAUGASUACCG
rnacentral:rRNA from 1 species